AUGCCGUCGCAUAAAUUGUUAAGGGAAAAAAGAAAAACUUUUCUAGAUCUAGACGCCACACACACUCUCCUCCUCCUCCUCUUCUCUUCUCUCUCUCUCUCUCUCUCUCUAGCUCUCUGCUCUUUUCGAUCUUCUCUUCGAUGGCCACCCCGACCUCAACCACCUCUCUUAUUUCCUCUGUUAAUCACUCUAUAACGAUAUGGUGGUGGUGGAAUCACUGGGGUGGCUGACAGAGUCGACCAUAAUGGCAAGAAGCACCGCGCCGUCGCCCACGUCGGAGCCUCUUAGAUCAUGGAGCUCAAAGCCAAGCUUUACUAGUCUCAAGAAGAUUCCAAGAAGUCCAAAGACCUCGCAGACCCAGAUGCCGAGUUCCACCUCGCUAAGUAGAAGAUCACCGCACACGAUGUCUUCUCCGCCAAGAACUCCUGCGUCGACGCUUGGGCUCACAGGGCUUAGAACAUAUAACAGUGGGUUAGCAAUGGCAUCCCCAUACGCAUUCACCCGUCUCAAGGAAUUGAGACUUGGUCCGUUUUGGAAUGAGCUGGAUUCAUUCCCUGCUUUUUCAGGUUCUACCACAACUUAAAUCUUGCGGGAAUACCGAAGUUGAUAGGCGCCACUAAAUCUGGUGGAAAACAUGUUGAGUUUGUAAGCAUUGAUAGGUGUAAGGAGGAGAACGGAGGCCCCUACAAGGCAUCAAUUCCAUUGAUUCAGGCCACAACCCAGAAGCAGAUGUUUUACUUGCUUAUGAGAUGAAUGGAGAGGGAUGGGAGAUCAAACUAGAACAUGGGUAUGGCCUGUGGCCCUUGCAAUGGGCCAUUCUUUGAUUGGAUAUACCUAAUUAAGUGAAAUUGCAUCCUUCCUGCCAGGUUGAUUGAAUACCUAAAUAGUACUAGUCAAGACGUAUGGAACAACAUACCUAAAAUGGCUAAAAACCUUGCAGGGCUUCUUUAUGCAAAAAGACUACAAAAUGUUUCCACCUUUAGUAAACUGGGAUAACAUUAAUUGGUCCACCAGGAGGCCACAAAUGGAUUUUCCUGUCCAGUGUGUAAUUUGUUCUUUAGAGGAUGUGAAUGUUGUAAAGCCUGGAAAGGGGCGGGACAUGUAUGUUAUGGUGAGCUACUUGAUGAGAAUUCUGGAAGUUUACUUAGUACUGACUAUGUAGUUUUGUCAAGUGAAUUUAACACUUUUCAGAACCUGAAGAAUUUUUUACUUAAUGCCCCUGCUUUUGAUAGUGUUGAUAGUUUGGCCAUUUUCUUCGAUUUCUAAUGAAGGUGUUGUAGUGUUGGCAUGGAUUGCUUUUGCUAAUCUUUGUUUUUAAACAACUCUUGGCUGGUCUUAGAAUUGUGAUUGUUGGUUGGUUAUA